UACGAAGGGGGCGAGCGUUGUUCGGAUUUACUGGGCGUAAAGGGCGCGCAGGCGGCUCAUUUUGUCAGGCGUGAAAGCCCCGGGCUUAACCUGGGAACUGCGCUUGAUACGGAUGGGCUAGAGUUCGGGAGAGGAGAGUGGAAUUCCCAGUGUAGAGGUGAAAUGCGUAGAUAUCAGGAGGAACACCGGUGGUGUAAACGGCUUUCUGGACCAUAACUGACGCUGAGGCACGAAAGCGUGGGUAGCAAACAGG
rnacentral:rRNA from 1 species